UACACAUUGGAAAUCAUCUCUGUUCUGCUUUAUUCUCUGCUUUUUGCUCUUGGUCUUUCUCAGCUUUAAUUUUUAAAUAAGGAAGUCAGUCAGUAAUUACAGUCAGUUCUUCUGCAUCGACCUGCUUUACCUGUUCAGAGUUCAGUUUUUAUUAACAGAAGUUCUCAACAGUUUCAAGUGGCAUACAGACUUUCUUGAGAGAAAGUACCCCCAAGAUUAUCACGUACAGUGCACAGAGAGAUGCUCCUGAGCCUCAUUCUGGCUCCUGCUGUAGGUUUUGCACACUGGUAUAUCAAUUUGUAUUACAUCAGUUUGUAACAACCAUAAAUCUACCUGGGGAAAAGCAAGUCCUCCAAGACUGAAAAGCCUCUAGCGUGAGACUGGCCAUAUGGCCAUAUCCCAGGGAAGAAAACUCAUGCCACACCUGAAAUGUCACCCUAGCCAGCUUCUAUGUUAAGGAAGAGACACAAGAUGACAUAUGAGUAGUUUUCUUUCCUUUGAUAUCCUCUGUUAAGCAAAGCUCAGCCAAAGUCCAAGCCAAAACCUGUAGUUAAUCUUUUUUUUUUUAAAGUGAUUUUUGGGAGCCUUUUUUCUCAUUUACAUCCUAGCAAUGCUUUCUUUGUGUGUGAUGUUUUCCGUGUGACUGUUUCAAUUUUAUAAACACCUGAUUUGUUACCUCCAUCCCUGCAGCAUUUAUGGUUUGUUCUAAACUGCAUGCCUGGUUUAUAAAUGAAUUUUCUUAAUUAUCGCCAUUCCUGUUACUUCCUUUUAAUUAGACAGCAGAUUCUGUCUCAGACUUUCUGGUUGUUCAUCCUCCUGUGCACAGAUUUUAAAAAUCACUUUUUGAAAGUGGAAGGUUUAUUCUGUCUUUUCCUAGAAAGUCCUGUUGUGAGACAAUUUAGAACGUUUUGGCUUUGCUGAUUCACAUCAAUAGAUCCCUGACAAAGAAAACUGCAAGGAUAAAACUGUAUUUUUUACAUCCUGUAUGUCAUUUUUCCUACAUUUCAAAAAAUGGCAGGAGCGAUGUUCCAGGCACUGCUUCCAACCGUGUAUUCAACUACAAGGAUCUCAAACCAUGGUUGAUAGCAGCUGAGUGAGAUAAUUCAUACUGUAAAAAUUGGAAUUCAAUUGAAAAACCUGUCUGUGUCAGAAGGGACAAUUGUACAGGCAAGAAACAUUUUCAAAGGUGUUUGGAAGAGAUUUGAGGUAGUAUGCUGCACUGCUUCCCCUGAUCAAUACUAAGCAGUUCCAGAAGGAAUUCAGACCCCAAAACUCCAUCAAGCAAUGGUGGAGAGGAGGAGAAAGAAUGAGAAUCAAGUAGCCAGGAUGAUUAAUCAAGGUGGCUUGAUUUUAAUGCACAUUGGACAUGUAAACGCUGUACA